GACGAACGCUGGCGGCGUGCUUAACACAUGCAAGUCGAACGGAAAGGCCCUGCUUUUGUGGGGUGCUCGAGUGGCGAACGGGUGAGUAACACGUGAGUAACCUGCCCUUGACUUUGGGAUAACUUCAGGAAACUGGGGCUAAUACCGGAUAGGAGCUCCUGCUGCAUGGUGGGGGUUGGAAAGUUUCGGCGGUUGGGGAUGGACUCGCGGCUUAUCAGCUUGUUGGUGGGGUAGUGGCUUACCAAGGCUUUGACGGGUAGCCGGCCUGGGAGGGUGACCGGCCACAUUGGGACUGAGAUACAGCCCAGACUCCUACGGGAGGCAGCAGUGGGGAAUAUUGCACAAUGGGCGGAAGCCUGAUGCAGCAACGCCGCGUGCGGGAUGACGGCCUUCGGGUUGUAAACCGCUUUCGCCUGUGACGAAGCGUGAGUGACGGUAAUGGGUAAAGAAGCACCGGCUAACUACGUG
rnacentral:rRNA from 1 species